UGGAUUAGCGGCGGACGGGUGAGUAACACGUGAGUAACCUGCCUUAGACAUUGGGAUAGCCUCUGGAAACCGGGAUUAAUACCAAAUAAAAUCAUAAUGACACAUGUCAUAACGAUCAAAACUCCGGUGGUCUAAGAUGGACUCGCGUCCCAUUAGCUAGUUGGUAUAGUAAAAGCCUACCAAGGCGACGAUGGGUAGCCGGCCUGAUAGGGUGAACGGCCACAUUGGAACUGAGAAACGGUCCAA
rnacentral:rRNA from 1 species